rnacentral:rRNA from 1 species
UACGAAGGGGGCUAGCGUUGUUCGGAAUCACUGGGCGUAAAGCGCGCGCAGGCGGCUUAGCAAGUCAGGGGUGAAAGCCCGGGGCUCAACCUCGGAACUGCCUUUGAGACUGCUAGGCUCGAGACCGAGAGAGGAGAGUGGAAUUCCCAGUGUAGAGGUGAAAUUCGUAGAUAUUGGGAAGAACACCAGUGGCGAAGGCGGCUCUCUGGCUCGGUACUGACGCUGAGGCGCGAAGGCGUGGGGAGCAAACAGG